UCUGCACCGCUGCCUGGGAGUUGUUGCACACGCUUUGGGCCAAAGCACAAGCUAGGUCCUGGUUCCUUAAUGGGUCGCUUGCAUGGAUGUGGGCUGGGUGAGUUGGUAGGCAGCCUUUGAGGGUCUUUGCUCGAGACUUCAUUUGGAGAAGGAAAAACACUUCCUCGAGCUAGGCUUAUGCGAGAUAAUGCGAGAAAGAGAGGAGAAGACAAAGUCGCAAUCUUGCCUGGAGAAGAAGCUGAUCGGAGCUGAUCGAAGAGAGGAUGAUUAGAGGGCUCGUGAUCAACGCGAACAAAGUCCGUUGGAUUGAGGCCAAGCGUCGAAGAGUGAAGGGUGACAGACUCCACGGGAGACGAUUCAUAACGAGCGAGAGAGUAGUUAGUGUAGUUAGAUUUUCAGCUUUUCGUAGAGUAGAGAAACAUUGCUUUCCUUGGCUGGAGCAGCUGUUCGCGUUGGUGACAGACCACGAGCAGUUUGGUGAUUCCAGUACCUUUGUAUUUCUAUCGUUCUUGGUAAUAAAGAGUUUGAUUUCUUUUUUA